rnacentral:misc_RNA from 1 species
GCUGGACUUGCAAAAUUCUUUGAUGUAUCAUGCCAACUCAUGAUUUGCUGUUUCACCCAAUAACAAAGAAAGCAAGCCUCCAUUUAUAAACCUUAAGGAAGGUAUCUGCUGUAAUUGAGCAGUCAUGGGUGGCGGUGAUGGAAAGAAAGAGUCAGGAGCUACGGGAGGAGGGAGCGAGAGAGACUCACUCUCUCUGAGCUUAAUAUCACAGUACAAUGAGAUACCUCUAGAGAGGGGAAGAGAAAUAGACCUGUCCUUCUUAGUGAGGAUAAAAGCAGUGGCUGAAAUGAAUGAAGAUAGACGAGCACCAGUGACACUGAUAGCUACCAUUGAUAGGAGUGCUAGUAUGAAGGACAAGCUCCCGCUGGUUAAGGACAGUUUAAAGUUCAUGGUACAACAAUUAAGAGACGAAGACAAACUGGCAAUCGUUACUUUUGAUCAUGAGGUUGAUAAACUGUUGCCAAUUACUUCAAUGACGUCGUCUGGUAAAGUGUUAGCAAAGAAAGCAAUUGAAAGCAUAAGAGAGAGAGGACAUACCAACCUCAGUGGAGGACUACUGGCUGCUUUACAGUUGCUAUAUGAUGUUCCAUUAAGUGAGAGUACAUUAGUUGAAUCUAUUGUAUUAUUCACUGACGGUAAAGCUAACUUUGGUAUUAAAGACAGAGAACCGCUAGCCAAGGCAACAAAGUCAAUGGUUAAUGAGAUUGGUCGUCAAGUGUGUGUAUUCACAUUGGGCUAUGGCAGUGAUCAUGAUUCUGAUACAUUGCAUGCUAUCUCUGAUGCUGGAAACGGUUUGUUUUAUUUCGUUGAAAAUAAAGACAGCAUCCCUGACAGUUUCUGCGACUGUCUUGGAGGAUUACUCAGCAUUGCAGCACAAAAUCUGGUGUUGACACUCACUGUUAAUGAUGAGUUGUGUCGAAUGGUGAAGCCUCCAUUGACAUCAUACGUAACAGAAUCAUGUCCAAAACAAACAUACAAGAUCACAAUACCUGAUAUAUACUGUGAAGAAGAGAAAUGCAUACCGAUACAUACAAGACUCCUCGCUGCCUCAUCAACUGCUGGUUGUAUUGAAUCAAAGGCACAAAUUCUCUCUUGCUCUCUGACUUACUUUGACAUCCUCCGCUGCUCACCAAAGACCACUACAGCUACUGGAGCAGUCCUAGUUAGCAAAGAGAUAUCUGAUCCAGUUAUAGUCAAAGAAUAUCAAGAGGACAUUGAACUACACCUCACUAGAUAUGACGUUGCUGAAGCAAUAUCCUCAGCUACUAAACUAGCCGAUGAAGGUCAGCUUGAAUCAGCCAGAGCUGCUCUCCAUCGCUACAAAGCUUGUAUCAAGAAGAGUGUUGUGUUUGGUUUGCCACUUGCAAAGUAUUUUGAGGAGACGAUUGAUGAGUCCUUGAAAGGUUUAGCAUCCCAGUCGCAUUAUUCUGGGCACGGUAAACCCUCAAUGAUGAAUUACAGUUUAUCUCAUUAUCAGCAACAAUCCCACGGAGCUGGAGCUGGAGCCUCUUCAAUAUUGUCUGAUGGAAGUGGAGUAAAAUAAGUCCAGUUGAAAAUUGGAAACCAGAUUAUAGGCCUCCUCUGUCUCGAGCUGAUACAUGUAUUUCUAAGCAUUAUAAUAAUUAUCCAGUUGCUGAUGGCAAUAUUGCUGCUAUUGAUUUUGGUACUACAUCAGUUUCAGUUGCCUUUUUUAAUACAAAAGGAGACGAAAUUAUUAAGAUGCUUGGCCUUGACUUUGAACACUUCUUCAAACGUGUUCCCAAUGCUAUCCUUUUUGAGGAAAGAACAUGAUGGCAAAAUGAAAGUGAAGGCUUUUGGAUUUCAAGCUAGUCUUCCCCUGAGAUUAAUUGAUAGAUCUAUAUACCGGGGGUACUCAUGUUUAUUUUGAAAGAAUUAAUAUGUUAAUGAGAAGAGGAAAGGUAAUUGAUAGAGAUACAGUAGUUGAGUCAUUUUUUGGUGAGAAGUUCUAUCUGAUUGAAUUCAUUGCAUUCAUACUUCAGCACCUGAAGAAUUUAUUGAUGGAUCAUUUCUCUCGUACUACCUGGCCAUUGAAGACAACAGAUUUUGAUUGGGUCAUUACUGUACCUGCUAUAUGGGAUGCACCUGGAAAAAGAAUGAUGAGAGAAGCUGCUUAUCUGGCUGCUCUUGAGGUUGGUGUCAAAAGCAGAAGUGGUAUCGAUUAUGAAGAUAACAUGCUAUGCAUUUCUAAGGGACUAGUAGAAUCCAAGCUGUUUGGCCCAGCACUAAAAGUUGUUACAGGAGCGGUAAGGUGGCGUAUGAAUCCAGGGAAGAUUAAAGCAAGACGAUCUGACACUACGUAUGGGAUAAAGGAAUAGCUCAAAUUUCAAUGGCAGUAAGCAUGAUGAGUAUUACAAGUUUUAUAAUGAAGAAGAAAAAGAAUACAGGUGCAAUAAUAUAUUUUGUGUGUUUUAGAGCUGAUGCAAGCUGAUCAAAUCAUUUCAAUGACUUUGAUACCACUUCAUCAAUCAGAUGAACAAAUUACCAUUGGUAUUUAUUCCACACCUAAUCUUGGAGUUUGAUACAUCAAAGGUAAAGAUGGCAAAAGCACAGUUACAAAAAUAGGUCAAUUACAUAUCAAUGUUCCUAAUCCUGAUAAUGUAUUAAGGGAAAAGCGUCUAGUUGAUGUCAGUAUGAAUUUUAGUGGUACAGAGAUUCAAGCUAAAGCAACCUAUUGUAUUACUGGAAAAGAAUUCAGAGAUAUAGGUGACUUUCUUUCUGCUUAGACUUAGACCAUUAAUUUUUUUAAUUUACUUUUUAUAACUGGUGUGCAUGUAGAUCUAGUUCUAAUUAUAUUUUUACCUUCACACCCAUGUCCAUUUAAAUUUAAAUUAUGAUUAACAUUUCACGGGCCUUAUUAA